rnacentral:rRNA from 1 species
AUUGAACGCUGGCGGCAGGCCUAACACAUGCAAGUCGAACGAGUGGCGGACGGGUGCGUAAUGUCCGGGAAACUGCCUGAUGGAGGGGGAUAACUACUGGCAACAGUAGCUAAUACCGCAUACCAUCGGAUGUGCCCAGAUGGGAUUAGCGAGUAGGUGGGGUAAAGGCUCACCUAGGGGACGGUGCCUAGCGGGUCUGAGAGGAUGAGCAGCCACGCGGAAAGUGAGCCACGGUCCAGACUCCGACGGGAGGCAGCAGUGGGGAAUAUUGCACAAUGUGCGCAAGCCUGAUGCAGCCAGGCCGCGUGUAUGAAGAAGGCCUGCGGGUGGUAAAGUACUUUCAGCGUGGAGGCGUGGCCCGCGGAAGAAGAACCGGCUAACUCCGUGCCAGCGGCCGCGGUAAUC